GAAGAGAGCUUGCUCUCUGAUUCAGCGGCGGACGGGUGAGUAAUGCCUAGGAAUCUGCCUGGUAGUGGGGGACAACGUCUCGAAAGGGACGCUAAUACCGCAUACGUCCUACGGGAGAAAGCAGGGGACCUUCGGGCCUUGCGCUAUCAGAUGAGCCUAGGUCGGAUUAGCUAGUUGGUGAGGUAAUGGCUCACCAAGGCGACGAUCCGUAACUGGUCUGAGAGGAUGAUCAGUCACACUGGAACUGAGACACGGUCCAGACUCCUACGGGAGGCAGCAGUGGGGAAUAUUGGACAAUGGGCGAAAGCCUGAUCCAGCCAUGCCGCGUGUGUGAAGAAGGUCUUCGGAUUGUAAAGCACUUUAAGUUGGGAGGAAGGGUUGUAGAUUAAUACUCUGCUGUUUUGACGUUACCGACAGAAUAAGCACCGGCUAACUCUGUGCCAGCAGCCGCGGUAAUACAGAGGGUGCAAGCGUUAAUCGGAAUUACUGGGCGUAAAGCGCGCGUAGGUGGUUUGUUAAGUUGGAUGUGAAAG
rnacentral:rRNA from 2 species